UAUUAUUAUUAUUAUUUUUUAAGUCAUCAUAAAGCUGAUCGAACCCUACCAUUCCAUUCCAUCAGAUUUUCGAGACUAUCAAUUUCUACUUCUCCCUUCUCGCAACCUUCGACGAUUGCCCUUCGGCAUCACGACUGUCUAUUUAGGAUCGACCAGUCCAAAGUCAUUCGCUGUCAUCACGAAGCUUAGUUGUCGGCGAUCGCAUCAAUUUGUCUGCGAAGCUGCUGCGUCAAAUUGUCUGCAUCUAACUGCAGAUCUGUGUAGAUCUGAGCUGCUGCAAAGUCACCGUUGCUAAGCUACUAUUCUGCACCGUUCCUUCUUCUCUCUACCUCUUUUGUGUCAGGACUUUGGUAAGUGUCGUUCUUCAUUUUUUUUAAUUAAUAUUAGUUUGCCAUCGAUUUCCGCUGUGGUGCCGUGGGUUUGCGCCGUUCUUGCCAUCGAUCUCCUGCUCUUAUGGUUUGUUGCUAUCGCGUCUUCCUCCCCUUCCAGUUCCUAUUUAUUGCGUCUCUUCAACAAGGUAUUUUUUUAAUGUAUAUGUAUAUAUUGAUGUUACAGUGAUUAUGAAGCAUGAUUAAGCUAUAAUGAUAGAAUAAUUAAUUAUAUUUUGAUGUUUCUGAGAUUGUCUACACAUCAUGAGCUAUAUUUUAAUAUAUUAUAUUUAAUGACAGGUACCAAAAUGUUGAAAUAUGGAAGAAGAGGAUGGUGGAUUGAGAGGCAGGGGAGGGAUGAGUGUUUGUCCAAGUAUCUCUUUUUCUUCAGAAAUUGGAUUUUGUCCAUAAUACAUGAGGAUUCAAGCUUUAAUCGAACAUUAAUUACUUUUUACUGUUAUUAUUUUGUUCUUUAAUUCCCCCUGUCUACUAUACUGUUAUUUAUUUUUUUUUUUUGAAAACUCCCUCAUAUCACAGCCUUUGCGCCAUUUGGAGGAGCUGCUGGAAGAACUUGUAGCUAUCUUUGUAAGGAUGAGAGGGAGAGUAAGGAUAGUAAUUUAAAAAAAAUAUUAUAUUCAUCAAAUGCUUGGACUUCUAAUUUGGUUUGUGACUGUGUAGAUAACAAGAUAACUUACGUUACAAUUUAGGAUUUUUGAAAGCAACUUCAAUGGCAGUAGAAUUGCAAAGUGGCUGAAAGCGUCCCUGAUGUCUUUUCCUCUUUCUAAUGUAAAUUUUAUAAUUUUAAAACAAGUUUUAUUAUAAUUUGAGCAAACAUAUGGUCUCACGUGUCCCACAAUUUCUAUAAUAAUUUGAGCUAACAUAUGGUCCCAUGUGCUCUAUAUGAUUACACCUAUGCUGCAGAGUUUUCUAGAAAUAGUAAAAUCUCCUACUGCAGGGUUAUAUUAAAAUUGUCCCAGUUUAUGUUCCUCAAUGGGAACAAGUUUGAGUUUGAUUUAACAUUUUCUAUAAAGGUGAAGCAAAUGAUAAUAGCUACACUUGCUGAAUCUGGUAUGAACUCAUCAGAUGAUGUUAUUGAAAGUAUAAUUGACAAGUUGUGCAGAUUGUGAACUGUAGCAGGAUGACAUGUAGGGCAUGCAAAUUGAAGUUGUGUGAUUGGCUUGCGAAAAGAUUUUAAGGAUGAACUUGAGAACAAUCGGCUGGUUACCAUCACUUCAAGCAAAUUAUUUAUCUAAUCAAGUGUGGCUCUGUAUGGUAUUAGAGAAACUAAGGAUUCACUGAUGCUUACUGUUGACAUUUUUGUUAACUAUGACUGUGAUCUUGAGGCACCAAACUUGUUUGAAAUAUUUUGAAUCUCUUGAACUAUCUUGAGUUACAAUUUUAAUAUAUAUGCUGCUUACAUCUC